rnacentral:tRNA from 1 species
GCGGGCGUGGCGGAAUUGGUAGACGCGCUAGACUUAGGAUCUAGUAUCGAAGAUGUGUAGGUUCGAGUCCUAUCGCCCGUA